UGACGCCCAGGAUUGUGCUUCUACAGGAAUAAUGUCAUGCCGAAUGAGUUACGACGGCGCGGUAGCAAUCGCAGAAAAAGAUAAAAAGAUGAUAUGCAGUGCAGCAAAAUCCUUUCUGGAUUGUUUGAACCAAGUUGUCACUGACUGCAAAUUGGACCCUUCUGUUGUAAGCAAAACAAUUGCUCCUGGCAAACAGGCCCUUUCUGAUAAUGGAUGUGAAAGUGGAAAUAGUGCCGGAAGUCUUGUUUUCAACUUGGUUGCAAUGGUUUCAGGACUUAUAUUUUAUAAGCUGUUUUAGAUAAAACACUUUUAUUUAUUUCUAUGAACAAAGUUACAUGUAAAAAUAUUUAUAAAACAUAAUUCGAACAAAUAUACGAACAAAAUCCUAUUUGGACACUACAUAUAUUGUUUAUUGUCAAUAUUAACUUCUGAAAUAAAUGAAUUGUACAGUUUUUGAUAGUUCUCUUAUCUUCUUUUUUUAAUGAUUCGUUGCUGCCAAUUUUUCUGCUUGACAAUAUUUAUGCACGUUUUGGCAGUUAGUUUAUCGACAGGGUUUAUGCAUUUUUAAGGGCAACAAUUGUGCCUCUUUUAUAUCAGACUUGUUCCUGCAUUGUCAUGGAUCACAGUCUAUUUUGCGUUGCUUUGAUGAUAUGUUUGCUUUAGAUAAUCCUGAAUUUGUUUAUGUACUGUUGAAAUUAACCAAAGGGAGCUUGCUAUUAAUUUUAUUACGGACAACAGUACUUGUCCUAUUCUAUAUUUUGAUAUUUUAGCUUCACAUUGGAAACUAUAUACAAGAAUUUACGUUAAAAAAAAGAGGAUUUUUCGUUCCCUAUUAUGGUCGGGGAUAUUCCUUUCUUACGGUGCGUAUAUUUCACAACUUGUUCGCUAUUCACGUGUCUGUAAAUGCGUUUUAGAUGUCGAUGGUCAACAAUAAUUUAUAUAUAACCGACGAAUUAUUAAAUCGGGGAUGUUGUUACCACAAAUUGAUGAAAGUGUUACUAAAUUCCUUCAUAAAUACAAUGACUUUUAAGAAGGUUUGGUUGUACAUGUAGAAGAGAAGCGAAAGAUACCAAAGAACAUUCAAACUCAAAAGUCGAAAACAAACUAACAAUGUCAUGGCAAAAAGACAACGGAACACGACGAUAAGACAACCAACAGUACACAAAACAUAACUUUGAUUGGUUUUGUUAUAAAUAGGCCGUAAGUUUUCUUAACUGAAUUGUUUCAUAUGUCUCAUGUCGGGCCUUUUAUAGCCGACUAUACGGUAUGGAGUUUUCUCAUUGUUGAUGGCCGUACGGCUACCUAUAAUUGCUUACACCGAUCACCUUCAUUUGAACGUUGGUGGAUAGUUGUCUCAUUGGCAAUCAUACCACAUAUCCUUAAUUUAUAUAAGCGUUGUAUGAAUAUGGAAUCAAGUAUGAGUCAUUCGUGAAAAAUUUAUUGUUCAAGCGACCGAACAAGAAGUAUAGAUUGACUUUAGUUUGGAAUUGUUAAAUAUAAUACAUUGAAAGACAUUCUUACAAUAAUCUGAUUUUUUUAUUAGUAUGGUAAUGUCACGAUACCUAAAAUACACAUAGUUUGCAAAAAAAAGUUUUUCUGAG